CAGCCGCCACGGUAAUACGAAGGGUGCAAGCGUUACUCGGAAUUACUGGGCGUAAAGCGUGCGUAGGUGGUGGUUUAAGUCCGUUGUGAAAGCCCUGGGCUCAACCUGGGAAUUGCAGUGGAUACUGGGUCACUAGAGUGUGGUAGAGGAUAGUGGAAUUUCCGGUGUAGCAGUGAAAUGCGUAGAGAUCGGAAGGAACAUCUGUGGCGAAGGCGACUAUCUGGGCCAACACUGACACUGAGGCACGAAAGCGUGGGGAGCAAACAGGAUUAGAUACCCUAGUAGUCCCUGUCUCUUAUAC
rnacentral:rRNA from 1 species